AAUGACAAUCAACAAACACCAGAGAAUUCAAAAUAAAGUCAGUAACUUUCUUAACACACUUUAGCGUUUUUUCCAGAAGCAUACAUUCAAUUUUCUUUCAUUUAUUACUGCUUAGCAUCGUGUAUCUCAACAAGCAUAUUGACCUACUUUUUUAACACAAGGACAAUGAAAGAUAAGGGAAAUGUACAGUAACAUAUAAUUUUCAAGUCAGACAAAUUAAAGAAAACAUCUUUCAAACGGAGCUUGGUGCAAUUCUUAGCAAGCCUCACAUAUUAUUUUUUUUUACGUCUCAAAACAAUAAAAACCUUCCCGCUGUCAAGUCAAUCUCAUGAAGAGAGGCUUAGAGCCAACUACAAAAUCUCAGAUUGAUUAUCAUUGAGGCUGAAGCAAAAUGACAUUGCAUUGAAAACUUACCACAAGGUAAAAAUUCCCACGGUUUGAUAAUUGAAUAUUGUAUUAUAGACAACAUUUCAUGAGUUUAUACCAUCUCAUAAAGUUAAAAUUCAUGUGGGUCAAAUGUACAGGCAAAUGGAAGGAUGUGGUGCAUCACAGCUCAGAAGUCAGAAAGUUGCUGUAAAACACCUGUCAAAGCUGGAGUACAGGGCUUCAAUUCCCCAAGCUCCAGGCAAACUAGUGUUCCAACCACCUAUUAGCACCUAGGAAGCAUUGGAAUAUUAUACAGGAGUAAAGUCUGAGAGGCAAUUUCAUCAGUGAUAAGAUCAUAAGGGGGUAAGAAGGAAUUCACAAGUGUCGAGUAAGAAGGCUUGACUCUAAGAGAGGCAAGUUUGAUGUGCAUCACAAGGAUAUUCUGUUGCUUUAGGCAAGCAUUAGAAGAGAAGAAUCAGUGCCAUAAAAGGGAUUUAAAGCUCAAAACCUCAGAGCGAGACAGUUUUCUCAAUUGAAUCAUGAUGUCCAAGGAAGUACAGGGAUAUAAAUUUUUCAUCAAUAUUUUCUAAUGUAGUCACUGUAACUAAAGACACUGCUGAUGAAGUAUCAUUCUGUUUCUGUCAUCAGAGCAUAUUGUUCAAUCCUCACUA